rnacentral:rRNA from 1 species
GGCGAACGGGUGAGUAACACGUGAGUAACCUGCCCACAACUUUGGGAUAACGCUAGGAAACUGGUGCUAAUACUGGAUAUGUGCUCCUGCUGCAUGGUGGGGGUUGGAAAGCUCCGGCGGUUGUGGAUGGACUCGCGGCCUAUCAGCUUGUUGGUGGGGUAAUGGCCUACCAAGGCGGCGACGGGUAGCCGGCCUGAGAGGGUGUACGGCCACAUUGGGACUGAGAUACGGCCCAG